UGCAAGUAGAACGCUGAAGAGAGGAGCUUGCUCUUCUUGGAUGAGUUGCGAACGGGUGAGUAACGCGUAGGUAACCUGCCUUGUAGCGGGGGAUAACUAUUGGAAACGAUAGCUAAUACCGCAUAACAAUGGGUGACUCAUGUCAUUUAUUUGAAAGGGGCAAAUGCUCCACUACAAGAUGGACCUGCGUUGUAUUAGCUAGUAGGUGAGGUAACGGCUCACCUAGGCGACGAUACAUAGCCGACCUGAGAGGGUGAUCGGCCACACUGGGACUGAGACACGGCCCAGACUCCUACGGGAGGCAGCAGUAGGGAAUCUUCGGCAAUGGGGGCAACCCUGACCGAGCAACGCCGCGUGAGUGAAGAAGGUUUUCGGAUCGUAAAGCUCUGUUGUAAGUCAAGAACGAGUGUGAGAGUGGAAAGUUCACACUGUGACGGUAGCUUACCAGAAAGGGACGGCUAACUACGUGCCAGCAGCCGCGGUAAUACGUAGGUCCCGAGCGUUGUCCGGAUUUAUUGGGCGUAAAGCGAGCGCAGGCGGUUUGAUAAGUCUGAAGUUAAAGGCUGUGGCUCAACCAUAGUUCGCUUUGGAAACUGUCAAACUUGAGUGCAGAAGGGGAGAGUGGAAUUCCAUGUGUAGCGGUGAAAUGCGUAGAUAUAUGGAGGAACACCGGUGGCGAAAGCGGCUCUCUGGUCUGUAACUGACGCUGAGGCUCGAAAGCGUGGGGAGCGAACAGGAUUAGAUACCCUGGUAGUCCACGCCGUAAACGAUGAGUGCUAGGUGUUGGAUCCUUUCCGGGAUUCAGUGCCGCAGCUAACGCAUUAAGCACUCCGCCUGGGGAGUACGACCGCAAGGUUGAAACUCAAAGGAAUUGACGGGGGCCCGCACAAGCGGUGGAGCAUGUGGUUUAAUUCGAAGCAACGCGAAGAACCUUACCAGGUCUUGACAUCCCGAUGCUAUUUCUAGAGAUAGAAAGUUACUUCGGUACAUCGGUGACAGGUGGUGCAUGGUUGUCGUCAGCUCGUGUCGUGAGAUGUUGGGUUAAGUCCCGCAACGAGCGCAACCC
rnacentral:rRNA from 1 species